rnacentral:rRNA from 1 species
GAGUUUGAUUCUGGCUCAGGACGAACGCUGGCGGCGUGCUUAACACAUGCAAGUCGAACGAAAAGAGGGAAAGAGCUUGCUCUUUCCGGAAUUGAGUGGCAAACGGGUGAGUAACACGUAAACAACCUGCCUUCAGGAUGGGGACAACAGACGGAAACGACUGCUAAUACCGAAUAAGUUCCAAGAGCCGCAUGGCCCAUGGAAGAAAAGGUGGCCUCUACCUGUAAGCUAUCGCCUGAAGAGGGGUUUGCGUCUGAUUAGCUGGUUGGAGGGGUAACGGCCCACCAAGGCGACGAUCAGUAGCCGGUCUGAGAGGAUGAACGGCCACACUGGAACUGAGACACGGUCCAGACUCCUACGGGAGGCAGCAGUGGGGAAUCUUCCGCAAUGGGCGAAAGCCUGACGGAGCAACGCCGCGUGAGUGAUGACGGCCUUCGGGUUGUAAAACUCUGUGAUCCGGGACGAAAAGGCAGAGUGCGAAGAACAAACUGCAU